GCCGCUUUAGCUCAGUUGGUAGAGCAGCUGAUUUGUAAUCAGCAGGUCGCUGGUUCAAGUCCGGCAAGCGGCU
rnacentral:tRNA from 4 species